rnacentral:rRNA from 1 species
GAUGAACGCUAGCUACAGGCUUAACACAUGCAAGUCGAGGGGCAGCAUGUCGGUUGCUUGCAACCGACGAUGGCGACCGGCGCACGGGUGAGUAACGCGUAUCCAACCUGCCUCUUACCAGGGAAUAACCCGUCGAAAGGCGGACUAAUGCCCUAUGCCCUCCGCGGCCGACAUCUAAUGCGGAGGAACGAUUCAUCGGUAAGGGAUGGGGAUGCGUCUGAUUAGCUUGUUGGCGGGGUAACGGCCCACCAAGGCAACGAUCAGUAGGGGUUCUGAGAGGAAGGUCCCCCACAUUGGAACUGAGACACGGUCCAAACUCCUACGGGAGGCAGCAGUGAGGAAUAUUGGUCAAUGGGCGGAAGCCUGAACCAGCCAAGUAGCGUGCAGGACGACUGCCCUAUGGGUUGUAAACUGCUUUUAUGCGGGGAUAAAUGACACUACGUGUAGUGUUUUGCAGGUACCGCAUGAAUAAGGACCGGCUAAUUCCGUGCCAGCCGCCGCGGUAACAC